rnacentral:tRNA from 1 species
GGAGAGGUGGCCGAGUGGCCGAAGGCACCGGCUUGCUAAGCCGGCAUACGGGCAACCGUAUCACGAGUUCGAAUCUCGUCCUCUCCGCCA